rnacentral:rRNA from 1 species
GUCUCCAGCCACACCACCCUGAACGUGCCUAAUCUCAUCUGAUCUCAGAAGCUAAGCAGGGUCAGGCCUGGUUAGUACUGGGAUGGGAGAUUACAGGUGCAUACC